UUUGACCCAAGUUUAGCUACAGGACUAAAAAAAAAAAGACCAAACAAGAUGCAAAACAAAAGGCAAUAGACCUCAUACUGAGUCUGGACAAGGCAACUCAAUAGGAAGAAAAGAGUUGCAAGAGCAGUUGAGGUCAGAGCUACAUCUUUUCUCACUGUGAGGAUUCCCACACAAGCACCAAGCUAACAGCCAUAACAUACCAGCAGAGGACUUGGUAGACAACCGUGCAUGCCCCAUUUUUGCCAUUUUGGUCCGUGUGAAAUAUUUGGCCAUCCAGGUUGUGUAAGACUUGAGUUUCCUCUCCUGGUAUGGGCGUCACGUUAAAGCAACCAUUGAUUCCUGACUCCAAAUGAUGUCCAUGUCUCCACCAUGCCCCUGCACAUCUUGCAGUCAGGACAGAUUUUACAUGGAGGGUUUUUUAGGUGGGUUGAUGUCCAGGCAGGAUUCUCUUCCUAUAGCCUGGAGAGUGUCUUUUCAUCACAAAGAGACUAGAACACUGGAGUGCAGUCUCCAAGCCUGCAAACAUGUCUGUAUUCUGUGACCUAUGUGGGAGCUGUCCUCAGCAAUGGCUCUGUUGUCUGUUUUCAGAGAGUAACCUUCUGUCCUAGCAUCACUCUGCAUUGUAUAGGGAUCCCCAUGGGACCUUCUUUUCUUUUGUUUUUUAUCGGGACAGGGUUUCUCUAUAGUCCUGGCAGUCCCGGAACUCACUUUGUAGACCAGGCAGCCCUCAAAGUCAGAAAUCCACCUGCCUCUUCCUCCUGAGCGCUGGGAUUAAAGGCAUGCACCACCACGCCCAGCUCCCGUGGGACCUUCUUGGCCAACAAUUCAAGUGAAUAUAGCCCACUCCUACUGAAGCCCUUCCUGACCACAAAAGAUGGCCAUUUCAGAUUCUGUAUUCUCCAUUACUAGAAGUCCUCACUAAGGUCACCCUCAUAGACUCCAGGAAGUCACCCGUACACUCAGCUUCUAUACUAAUACCCCCUUAAUUCUAGUCAUUUCUCACUGCACUGGACUUCCUCUCACUCUUCAAAGUCAGUC
rnacentral:lncRNA from 1 species